AGCAGCUCAGCAAAGCCGUGUACGAGGGUGUUGAGGCCGCCGGUGGGCAGCGCAGUGUCCCAGUCCUCAGUCACAGACAGUGUGAGAGGGCCCACCACCCAUGGAGCCUAGUUAACCAGUGGGCUAAUAAUUCGGGCCCUGUGAUUACUAAUGAUGGUCCUUUAAGAAGGUAUCUUGCAUCCAACCUGAUGCACCCAACCCACAGGUAUGGACUUGUUGUUUCCAUCUGCUUUCAGUGAUUCUCUGCAGCAACACCACCUAGUGGCAGAAUGCACACAUCAAUCAGUUCAACUCAAAGAUCGUCAGCACUCAAUAUAUUGCUUUGUUGCACUUAAUCAUUGAUCCACGUUUUAUUCCGAUUACUACCUAUUGUUGAAGUUCACAUGGACCCAGCCUGCACCCUGGUGACCGUUGUUCUGAUAGCAAUAUAUCUUUUAUAGUAAUCUAUUCAGUGUUAUACCCACCUCCUAGCAAAAGUGGGUGACACAGACAGUCAGAAUUUCAUUCAAGUAAAUGGGAAGCGGCUUUAGCAUGAGAGGCAUUUUGAUUGCAAGUAUAAUUCCAACCACUAGUGCUUUCAGCUUCAUUUUCAAGAAAAGCUUUUACUGUUAUUUAAUUCUACUUUUACAUAUAUAAUAGAGCUCUUUCAAGGAAAACACAGUUGGGUUGGGGUGUUUGGGCUCUGGUACAUGGGGCAUUUUUAUUGCAAUUUCUUGUAGUUAUGAUGCCCACUGUUGGUACAUUAAUGCAUUUACAGUAAAGGUUCAGGUAGAAAUUGUAAAUUGUGGAGCUUCUGCUGUUAAUUUUUGUUUGAGUUUUACAACUUUCAGUUUUUUCUGGAGUUUUCAAGCACAUUAUAUAAGAGAACAAACUGGUAUACAAAGGUGUAUAUUAUACUUUAAUACCAAGUUGUAUUGCCUGACCAAAUCUUUCUAUUCUUUUGCACACAAUAUACAUUCUUUGGGUUGUGAAGAGUAGUAAUAAAUGAAAAAAAAAAUCAGUGGCUCCUUAU